rnacentral:tRNA from 4 species
GCCCCCAUCGUCUAGUGGCCUAGGACGUCGCCCUUUCAAGGCGGUAGCACGGGUUCGAAUCCCGUUGGGGGCA